GACGAACGCUGGCGGCGCGCCUAACACAUGCAAGUCGAACGGGACUAUACGAGAUGAAGUUUUCGGAUGGAAUUUUGUAUAGUUUAGUGGCGGACGGGUGAGUAACACGUGAGCAACCUGCCUUCGAGAGGGGAAUAACGGCUGGAAACGGUCGCUAAUACCGCAUAACAUACGAGAGGGACAUCCCUUUUGUAUCAAAGAUUUAUCGCUCGAAGAUGGGCUCGCGUCCGAUUAGGUAGUUGGUGAGGUAACGGCCCACCAAGCCGACGAUCGGUAGCCGGACUGAGAGGUUGAACGGCCACAUUGGGACUGAGACACGGCCCAG
rnacentral:rRNA from 1 species